CCCUGGUUAGCUAAGUUGGUAGAGCGCUCCACUGGAAAUGGAGAGCUCCCUAGUUUCGUACCCGGACCAGGCG
rnacentral:tRNA from 1 species